YUACGUGCCAGCAGCCGCGGUAAUACGUAUGUCGCGAGCGUUAUCCGGAAUUAUUGGGCAUAAAGGGCAUMUAGGCGGCCUUUCAAGUCAGGGGUGAAAACCUGCGGCUCAACCGCAGGCCUGCCUUUGAAACUGAUAGGCUGGAGUACCGGAGAGGUGGACGGAACUGCACGAGUAGAGGUGAAAUUCGUAGAUAUGUGCAGGAAUGCCGAUGAUGAAGAUAGUUCACUGGACGGUAACUGACGCUGAAGUGCGAAAGCCGGGGGAGCGAACAGGAUUAGAUACCCUGGUAGUCCCGGCCGUAAACGAUGAUUACUGGGUGUGGGCAGGAAGACUGUCUGUGCCGAAGCGAAUGCGAUAAGUAAUCCGCCUGGGGAGUACGGCCGCAAGGCUGAAACUCAAAGGAAUUGACGGGGACCCGCACAAGCGGUGGAGCAUGUGGUUUAAUUCGACGCAACGCGAGGAACCUUACCAGAUCUUGACAUCCCG
rnacentral:rRNA from 1 species